rnacentral:rRNA from 1 species
GAGUUUGAUUCUGGCUCAGGACGAACGCUGGCUGCGUGCUUAACACAUGCAAGUCGAACGCUGAAGCCUGGUGCUUGCACCGGGUGGAUGAGUGGCGAACGGGUGAGUAACACGUGAGUAACCUGCCCCCGACUUCGGGAUAAGCCCGGGAAACUGGGUCUAAUACCGGAUAUGACAACCGAAGGCAUCUUUGGUUGUGGAAAGUUUUUUCGGUUGGGGAUGGGCUCGCGGCCUAUCAGUUUGUUGGUGAGGUAAUGGCUCACCAAGACGACGACGGGUAGCCGGCCUGAGAGGGCGACCGGCCACACUGGGACUGAGACACGGCCCAGACUCCUACGGGAGGCAGCAGUGGGGAAUAUUGCACAAUGGGGGAAACCCUGAUGCAGCGACGCAGCGUGCGGGAUGACGGCCUUCGGGUUGUAAACCGCUUUCAGCAGGGAAGAAGCCUUUAUCGGUGACGGUACCUGCAGAAGAAGUACCGGCUAACUACGUGCCAGCAGCCGCGGUAAUACGUAGGGUACAAGCGUUGUCCGGAAUUAUUGGGCGUAAAGAGCUCGUAGGUGGUUGGUCACGUCUGCUGUGGAAACGCAACGCUUAACGUUGCGCGUGCAGUGGGUACGGGCUGACUAGAGUGCAGUAGGGGAGUCUGGAAUUCCUGGUGUAGCGGUGAAAUGCGCAGAUAUCAGGAGGAACACCGGUGGCGAAGGCGGGACUCUGGGCUGUAACUGACACUGAGGAGCGAAAGCAUGGGGAGCGAACAGGAUUAGAUACCCUGGUAGUCCAUGCCGUAAACGUUGGGCACUAGGUGUGGGGGACAUUCCACGUUCUCCGCGCCGUAGCUAACGCAUUAAGUGCCCCGCCUGGGGAGUACGGUCGCAAGGCUAAAACUCAAAUGAAUUGACGGGG